GAUGAAGAACGUAGCGAAAUGCGAUAAGUAAUGUGAAUUGCAGAAUUCAGUGAAUCAUCGAAUCUUUGAACGCACAUUGCGCCCGCCAGUAUUCUGGCGGGCAUGCCUGUUCGAGCGUCAUUUCAACCAUCAAGCCCCCCGGCUUGUGUUGGGGACCUGCGGCUGCCGCAGGCCCUGAAAAGCAGUGGCGGGCUCGCUGUCACACCGAGCGUAGUAGAUCUCAUCUCGCUCAGGGCGUGCUGCGGGUUCCGGCCGUUAAACCACCUUCAUAACCCAAGGUUGACCUCGGAUCAGGUAGGAAGACCCGCUGAACUUAAGCAUAUCAAUAGCGAGA
rnacentral:misc_RNA from 1 species